AACGAACGCUGGCGGCAUGCCUAACACAUGCAAGUCGAACGAGAUCUUCGGGUCUAGUGGCGCACGGGUGCGUAACGCGUGGGAAUCUGCCCUUUGGUUCGGAAUAACAGUUGGAAACGACUGCUAAUACCGGAUGAUGACGAAAGUCCAAAGAUUUAUCGCCAGAGGAUGAGCCCGCGUAGGAUUAGCGAGUUGGUGUGGUAAAGGCGCACCAAGGCGACGAUCCUUAGCUGGUCUGAGAGGAUGAUCAGCCACACUGGGACUGAGACACGGCCCAGACGCCUACGGGAGGCAGCAGUGGGGAAUACUGGACAAUGGGCGAAAGCCUGAUCCAGCAAUGCCGCGUGAGUGAUGAAGGCCUUAGGGUUGUAAAGCUCUUUUACCCGGGAUGAUAAUGACAGUACCGGGAGAAUAAGCUCCGGCUAACUCCGUGCCAGCCGCCGCCGUAA
rnacentral:rRNA from 1 species